UGCAUCGCCCGGGAAUCGAACCCUGGCCGCCCGCGUGGCAGGCGAGCAUUCUACCACUGAACCACCGAUGC